CUCUGCUGCACUCUGGGAAGCUGGGGGCAGGUAGGGGGCCAGCUCCAUUUAUGACAUCAUUACAGCAUCAUGAGUAGUGAAUGUUGGGUGGCUCCAGGACUUCUAACUCAAGUCCUGAACAUGAGAAUCUAGCUAUGAUUACACAACUCUCAGCCUAGACUUCUCUCUUGUGGUCCCUUAAAAUCGAUGCUGAAAGAAUCAGGCUACUGGGAAGAGUUCUGAACUCUGGGGGCAGAGGGCUUGUUACUGCUAGGAGUGGAAACACUGUCUGUCUGCCUGUGGCCUAAUAAGGGAAGUUUAUAGUUGGAACUGAGAUGCAUUUGAGUGGUAAUAGGAGGAAGCUGGGAGGACAAAUAGAAAAUGAAGCCUGUCAUAUACAGGCUGUUUCUAUGUCUAUUUGGAGAAGCCAAGCUCCACCGGCUGUUCAGCUCUAGAUGCAGCUACCAAUCUGGAUAUGGAGAAG